CAGGACGAACGCUGGCGGCGUGCUUCAUACAUGCAAGUCGAACGAUAAGGCACCUUCGGGUGUACAUAAGUGGCGGACGGGUGAGUAAUAUGUAGAGAAUCUGCCCUAGAGCGGGGGACAACAGUUGGAAACGACUGCUAAUACCCCAUAUGAGCGUAGUUGAAAUACUAUUCUUGAAAACUCCGGUGCUCUGGGAUGAGUCUGCAUCUGAUUAGCUAGUUGGGGGUGUAAUGGACCACCAAGGCGACGAUCAGUAGCUGGUUUGAGAGGAUGAUCAGCCACAAUGGGACUGAGACACGGCCCAUACUCCUACGGGAGGCAGCAGUAGGGAAUUUUGCGCAAUGGGGGCAACCCUGACGCCAGCAACGCCGCGUGACCGAUGAAGCCCUUCGGGGUGUAAAGGUCUGUCAGUGGGGACGAAACUUGACGGUACCCACAGAGGAAGCAUCGGCUAACUCCGUGCCAGCAGCAGC
rnacentral:rRNA from 1 species